UACGUAGGUGGCAAGCGUUGUCCGGAUUUACUGGGCGUAAAGAGCGCGCAGGCGGUUAUUCAAGUCGAAUGUGAAAGCCCCCGGCUUAACUGGGGAGGGUCAUUCGAUACUGUUUAACUUGAAGGCAGGAGAGGGAAGUGGAAUUCCCGGUGUAGUGGUGAAAUGCGUAGAUAUCGGGAGGAACACCAGUGGCGAAGGCGACUUCCUGGCCUGUUCUUGACGCUGAGGCGCGAAAGCUAGGGGAGCAAACGGG
rnacentral:rRNA from 1 species